rnacentral:rRNA from 1 species
GGUUCAGGAUGAACGCUAGCGACAGGCUUAACACAUGCAAGUCGAGGGGCAGCAAUAAAGUAGCAAUACUUGGUGGCGACCGGCGCACGGGUGAGUAACGCGUAUGCAACCUACCUAUCAGAGGGGAAUAACCCGGCGAAAGUCGGACUAAUACCGCAUAAAACAGGGGCACCGCAUGGUGAUAUUUGUUAAAGAAAUUCGCUGAUAGAUGGGCAUGCGUUCCAUUAGGUAGUUGGUGAGGUAACGGCUCACCAAGCCGACGAUGGAUAGGGGAACUGAGAGGUUGGUCCCCCACACUGGUACUGAGACACGGACCAGACUCCUACGGGAGGCAGCAGUGAGGAAUAUUGGUCAAUGGGCGGGAGCCUGAACCAGCCAAGUCGCGUGAAGGAAGAAGGAUCUAUGGUUCGUAAACUUCUUUUGCAGGGGAAUAAAGUGCAGGACGUGUCCUGUUUUGUAUGUACCCUGAGAAUAAGGAUCGGCUAACUCCGUGCCAGCCGCCGC